UACGAAGGGUGCAAGCGUUAAUCGGAAUUACUGGGCGUAAAGCGUGCGUAGGCGGUUUGUUAAGUCUGUUGUGAAAUCCCCGGGCUCAACCUGGGAAUGGCAAUGGAUACUGGCAAGCUAGAGUGUGAUAGAGGAUGGUGGAAUUCCCGGUGUAGCGGUGAAAUGCGUAGAGAUCGGGAGGAACAUCAGUGGCGAAAGGCGGCCAUCUGGAUCAACACUGACGCUGAGGCACGAAAGCGUGGGGAACAAACAGG
rnacentral:rRNA from 1 species